rnacentral:rRNA from 1 species
UACCGAGGGUGCAAGCGUUAAUCGGAAUUACUGGGCGUAAAGCGCGCGUAGGUGGUUUGUUAAGUUGGAUGUGAAAUCCCCGGGCUCAACCUGGGAACUGCAUCCAAAACUGGCAAGCUAGAGUAUGGUAGAGGGUGGUGGAAUUUCCUGUGUAGCGGUGAAAUGCGUAGAUAUAGGAAGGAACACCAGUGGCGAAGGCGACCACCUGGACUGAUACUGACACUGAGGUGCGAAAGCGUGGGGAGCAAACAGG